CGACGCAACGCGAAGAACCUUACCAGGGCUUGACAUCCCCUGACCGCGUAUGAAAGUACGUUUUCACCCUCGGGUGACAGGGAGACAGGUGGUGCAUGGUUGUCGUCAGCUCGUGUCGUGAGAUGUUGGGUUAAGUCCCCGCAACGAGCGCAACCCCCUACGUUUAGUUGCUAACGCGUGAAGGCGAGCACUCUAGACGAACUGCCGUUGACAAAACGGAGGAAGGUGGGAUGACGUCAAAUCAUCAUGCCCCUUAUGUUCUGGGCUACACACGUGCUACAAUGGCCGGUACAGACGGACGCAAAGCCGCGAGGUGGAGCAAAUCCUAAAAAGCCGGUCUCAGUUCGGAUUGCAGGCUGCAAUUCGCCUGCAUGAAGUCGGAAUCGCUAGUAAUCGCAGGUCAGCAUACUGCGGUGAAUACGUUCCCGGGCCUU
rnacentral:rRNA from 1 species